AAGUCGUAACAAGGUUUCCGUAGGUGAACCUGCGGAAGGAUCAUUAACACGUAUCCAAACUGGGUGCAAGCCCCCUUAUCACACCCCUGCUCUAUCUAUGGUGAUCCUGCGGGAAGUCUGCGGUCAAACCAACUGUUAACAAUGGAUAUCUUGGUUCUC
rnacentral:misc_RNA from 1 species